rnacentral:rRNA from 1 species
GAGGUACUGGAAGGUCCUCAGGCCGAAAGGGGCUCUGCCCGCCCGAGGAUGGGCCGGCGGCCGAUUAGGUAGUUGGUGGGGUAACGGCCCACCAAGCCGAAGAUCGGUACGGGCCAUGAGAGUGGGAGCCCGGAGAUGGACACUGAGACACGGGUCCAGGCCCUACGGGGCGCAGCAGGCGCGAAACCUCCGCAAUGCGGGCAACCGCGACGGGGGGACCCCCAGUGCCGUGGCAACGCCACGGCUUUUCCGGAGUGUAAAAAGCUCCGGGAAUAAGGGCUGGGCAAGGCCGGUGGCAGCCGCCGCGGUAAUACCGGCGGCCCGAGUGGUGGCCGCUAUUAUUGGGCCUAAAGCGUCCGUAGCCGGGCCCGUAAGUCCCUGGCGAAAUCCCACGGCUCAACCGUGGGGCUUGCUGGGGAUACUGCGGGCCUUGGGACCGGGAGAGGCCGGGGGUACCCCUGGGGUAGGGGUGAAAUCCUAUAAUCCCAGGGGGACCGCCAGUGGCGAAGGCGCCCGGCUGGAACGGGUCCGACGGUGAGGGACGAAGGCCAGGGGAGCGAACCGGAUUAGAUACCCGGGUAGUCCUGGCUGUAAAGGAUGCGGGCUAGGUGUCGGGCGAGCUUCGAGCUCGCCCGGUGCCGAAGGGAAGCCGU